rnacentral:rRNA from 1 species
AUUGAACGCUGGCGGCAUGUCUUACACAUGCAAGUCGGACGUGAAAGCGGGGCAACCCGCAAGUAGAGUGGCGGACGGGUGAGUAAUACAUCGGAACGUGUCCAGUAAUGGGGGAUAACCUAGCGAAAGUUAGGCUAAUACCGCAUACGAUCUGCGGAUGAAAGCGGGGAUGCGGCACUAAAGGCUUUUGGCGAAGGUGGCCAAAGGUGAGUCAAGAGCUUUUAGUGCUGCACCUCGCGUUAUUGGAGCGGCUGAUGUCUGAUUAGCUAGUUGGUGAGGUAAAGGCUUACCAAGGCGACGAUCAGUAGCUGGUCUGA